ensembl:lncRNA LINC01193 long intergenic non-protein coding RNA 1193
AGUAACACUCUGGGAGGGCUCAGGCCACAUCACGAAAUGUGACAGGAUAGCCUUGAACUCAUCAAUUGCUGGCAAGGUAAGCUGUCAUCAGUUGGAGGUAAGCAGAAGACAGUAGAGAGUACAGAGCCCUGGACUGUGACUCAGAGGAUGAGCACCAGAUCCAGUUUGCUGUGCCACAGUGGUCAACGGGAAACUACAACAGCCCAAUCCAGGCAGGACUACAAAUGGCCCAGACCCUUCAGGAAUGAAGGUUUGCAUCACUCCACUAGGAGAAAAAACUCUACCUGCUGUGAUGCUUGCUGAAGGCAAAGGGAAUACAGAAUCGGUAGUAGAAGAAGUAGUCAUCAAUACCAGCUACAACCACGUGAUCUGUUGCAGAAAUGAGGACUGUAAUUGUCAUCAGUAUUUCCUUCUUCUUUUGUUAAAAACAUGUUUGUGCAUGUACACACUUGUACUAAGAAAA